GAUCAUGGUCAGGAUGAACGCUAGCGACAGGCUUAACACAUGCAAGUCGAGGGGCAGCACAGGGUAGCAAUACUUGGGUGGCGACCGGCGCACGGGUGAGUAACGCGUAUGCAACUUACCUAUCAGAGGGGGAUAGCCCGGCGAAAGUCGGAUUAAUACCCCAUGAAACAGGGGUCCCGCAUGGGAAUAUUUGUUAAAGAUUCACCGCUGAUAGAUAGGCAUGCGUUCCAUUAGGCAG
rnacentral:rRNA from 1 species